rnacentral:lncRNA from 1 species
UCGCUUAGUAGUCAUCACAUUGCAAAAUGAACUUGUGUCACUCCAAAAUAAAUCCGGUCAUUACAAAAUGAACAAAAUGAAAAUGACUGUCACAUUUAUGAUGCUAUGCAACUUGGCACAUUCAUGCUUCUGGCCUCUUCUAUCCUGAAAAGGGAAUAAGAUAUUGGGAAGCAUGUCAAGCUAAUAGAAGAAAAAGAAUAUUUAAGAGAGAAAAGAAAUAAAUUGCACAAGACAAGACAAGAUUUACAUGGUUCAGUAAUUUUUACCUACUCCACGGCCACACAAAGAAUAACUCUUUAUUAAUUGAAAAGAGAAAGAAGAAGUUUUGGGAUGAUCUACAAAUGAAAAUGUAGACCCCUAUUU